rnacentral:rRNA from 1 species
UACGUAGGCAGCGAGCGUUGUUCGGAAUUACUGGGCGUAAAGGGCUCGUAGGCGGCCAACUAAGUCAGACGUGAAAUCCCCAGGCUCAACCUGGGAACUGCGUCUGAUACUGGAUGGCUUGAGUUUGGGAGAGGGAUGCGGAAUUCCAGGUGUAGAGGUGAAAUUCGUAGAUAUUCGGAGGAACACCAGUGGCGAAGGCGGCUCACUGGCUCGACACUGACGCUGAGGUGCGAAAGCGUGGGGAGCAAACAGG